ACGGGUGAGUAACACGUGGGCAGCCUGCCCUUGAGACUGGGAUAACUUCGGGAAACCGGAGCUAAUACCGGAUAAUAUAAGGAACCUCCUGGUUCCUUAUUGAAAGAUGGUUUCGGCUAUCACUUAAGGAUGGGCCCGCGGCGCAUUAGCUAGUUGGUGAGGUAACGGCUCACCAAGGCGACGAUGCGUAGCCGACCUGAGAGGGUGAUCGGCCACACUGGGACUGAGACACGGCCCAGACUCCUACGGGAGGCAGCAGUAGGGAAUCUUCCACAAUGGACGAAAGUCUGAUGGAGCAACGCCGCGUGAGUGAUGAAGGCCUUCGGGUCGUAAAGCUCUGUUGUUAGGGAAGAACAAGUGCGAGAGUAACUGCUCGCACCUUGACGGUACCUAACCAGAAAGCCACGGCUAACUACGUGCCAGCAGCCGCGGUAAUACGUAGGUGGCAAGCGUUAUCCGGAAUUAUUGGGCGUAAAGCGCGCGCAGGUGGUUUCUUAAGUCUGAUGUGAAAGCCCACGGCUCAACCGUGGAGGGUCAUUGGAAACUGGGGAACUUGAGUGCAGAAGAGGAAAGUGGAAUUCC
rnacentral:rRNA from 1 species